CUGCCUGCACUGUCAUUUGUGCCAGUCCCUCUCAGUCAAGGUAACACAACAGACAAUCAGGGUAUAUGCUGCAAAUUGCACAGAACAUUUCCACGAGCCUUGAACAAUUUUGCUUCAGAUCUAGGAACAAAACUCUAGAAGAUGAAAACUAUUUCUGCAUUGCUAAGCUGCUGCAAGUGACGCCUGGGAACUAACCAUAGAUACAGCCUAGAUAGGAGUAAUGUCAGACAGGGUACAUUACCUCUAUGUUAAUAAUGAAGAAACGUAAACAGGCAAACAAUACAACAGAAGCAGUUACAGAAGAAAAAGCUCAGCCUAUUGACACAGGUGACCUUUCUGAUAGUGAUGAAAAUCAAGGAUUUGGAAGUUGGC